rnacentral:rRNA from 1 species
AGAGUUUGAUCCUGGCUCAGGACGAACGCUGGCGGCGCGCCUAACACAUGCAAGUCGAACGGAGUUAUAGCAAUAUAACUUAGUGGCGAACGGGUGAGUAACACGUAGACAACCAACCCCGCAGAUUGGGGCAACAGCUUGAAAGAGCUGCUAAUACCGAAUGCGCUUCUCUCUUCGCAUGAAGGGAGAAGGAAAGGCCGUAAGGUCGCUGUGGGACGGGUCUGCGGCUGAUUAGCCGGUUGGUGAGGUAACGGCUCACCAAAGCAACGAUCAGUAGCCGGUCUGAGAGGAUGAACGGCCACAUUGGAACUGAGAAACGGUCCAGACUCCUACGGGAGGCAGCAGUGGGGGAUUUUCCGCAAUGGGCGCAAGCCUGACGGAGCGACGCCGCGUGAGUGAAGAAGGCCUUCGGGCCGUAAAGCUCUGUUGAUGGGGACUAUAAUGAAGGUACCUGUCGAGGAAGCCACGACCAACUACGUGCCAGCAGUCGCGGUAAUACGUAGGUGGCGAGCGUUGUCCGGAAUGAUUGGGCGUAAAGGGAGCGUAGGCGGGUAAAUAAGUCUUACUUAAAAGGUCGCGGCUCAGCUGCGGCAGGGGUAGGAAACUAUUAACCUUGAGUGCAGGAGAGGCAAGCGGAAUUCCCAGUGUAGCGGUGAAAUGCGUAGAUAUUGGGAAGAACACCGGUGGCGAAGGCGGCUUGCUGGACUGCGCCUGACGCUGAGGCUCGAAGGCCGGGGGAGCGAACGGGAUUAGAUACCCCGGUAGUCCCGGCGGUAAACGAUGGAUGCUAGGUGUGGGGGGUAUCGACCCCUCCCGUGCCGGAGCGAACGCAAUAAGCAUCCCGCCUGGGGAGUACGAUCGCAAGAUUGAAACUCAAAGGAAUUGACGGGGGCCCGCACAAGCGGUGGAGUAUGUGGUUCAAUUCGACGCAACGCGAAGAACCUUACCAGGGCUUGACAUCGAGCGGCGGCGCCGGAAACGGAGCCUCCGCCCUUCGGGGCGGCGCGAAGACAGGUGGUGCAUGGCUGACGUCAGCUUGUGCCGUGAGGUGUUGGGUUAAGUCCCGCAACGAGCGCAACCCCUGCGGUCUCUUGCCAGCGGGCAAAGCCGGGAACUCAGAUCGGACUGCCGCGGAGAACGCGGAGGAAGGCGGGGAUGACGUCAAGUCAUCAUGCCCCAUACGCCCUGGGCGACACACGUACUACAAUGGGACGGCACAGAGGGAAGCGAAGGCGCGAGCCGGAGCGGAGCCCUGAAACCGUCUCCCAGUUCGGACCGCGGGCUGCAACCCGCCCGCGCGAAGUUGGAAUCGCUAGUAAUCGCAGGUCAGCAUACUGCGGUGAAUACGUUCCCGGGCCUUGCACACACCGCCCGUCA